rnacentral:misc_RNA from 1 species
AAGUCGUAACAAGGUUUCCGUAGGUGAACCUGCGGAAGGAUCAUUAACACGUAUCCAAACGUAAAAAACCCCCCCCCGUGAACAUUCAAUUUUGCUCUUGUAACCCGCGUAGUUCGCAAUCUCUGGUAAAUCAUAGCCCGGAAAGUAGUUUUGAUUCAGAGACCUCCGGCUACGUGAGAACAUUGGAACAGUUACAAUCGAGCGGUUGAAGCGCUAUCCUUGCACAAUCAGUGACACUUUCAGACACUAACUGCUAGGGGAAACAAUGCCUAUGAAACUACAACGAUUCCUGUAGACCGUACACUCGGGCAGGAGCUAUGCCAAAGGGUCCCCAUGCCCCCUUAUAACCCCACAGUUUAAUGUGAAGCUCAAUGUAAUACAUUGGGUAAAAAAACCGAACAACUGUUAACAAUGGAUAUCUUGCUUCUC